UGAUGGAAUUUGGCGCUUGGACUGCCU
rnacentral:piRNA from 1 species